rnacentral:rRNA from 1 species
GACGAACGCUGGCGGCGUGCUUAACACAUGCAAGUCGAACGGCAAGACCCUGCCAUUGUGGGGUGCUCGAGUGGCGAACGGGUGAGUAACACGUGAGUAACCUGCCCUUGACUUUGGGAUAACUUCAGGGAAAUGGGGCUAAUACCGGAUAGGAGCUCCUGCUGCAUGGUGGGGGUUGGAAAGUUUCGGCGGUUGGGGAUGGACUCGCGGCUUAUCAGCUUGUUGGUGGGGUAGUGGCUUACCAAGGCUUUGACGGGUAGCCGGCCUGAGAGGGUGACCGGCCACAUUGGGACUGAGAUACGGCCCAGACUCCUACGGGAGGCAGCAGUGGGGAAUAUUGCACAAUGGGCGGAAGCCUGAUGCAGCAACGCCGCGUGCGGGAUGACGGCCUUCGGGUUGUAAACCGCUUUCGCCUGUGACGAAGCGUGAGUGACUGUAAUGGGUAAAGAAGCACCGGCUAACUACGUG